rnacentral:rRNA from 1 species
GCUUAGCAUGAAGUGAAGCACAUACACCUGCUGAAUUUAAGCAUAUAAGUAAGUGGUGGAAAUUAAACCAAAUGGGAUAUCUUUAGUAAUUGCGAAUGAACAAGGAUAUGCUUAGCUUGACAAUGGAGCUAUUGGCUUUGAAUUGUAUUGUGGAAAUGUAUUACCAACAGAGGUGCAGGUGCCAGCCUAUUGAAAUAAAGCGUCAAUGAGGGUGAGAAUCCUGUUUGUCAUGUGCAGCCCUUUGUGCACGGUGUAUAUUUGCUGAGUCACACUCCUUGGCAUUGGAAUGCAAAGUGGGUGGUAAGUUUCAUGUAAAGGUAAACAUGCAAUUGAGACUGAUAGCACACAAGUACCAUGAGGGAAAUAUGAAAAGGACUUUGAAAAGAGAAUUAAAUGAGUUUGUAUUUGCUGAACACAAAGUAAACAGACUUGAUUUGCUUGGUGGGAGUGUUGCACUUGCUUGACAAGAGCUUUGGGCUGUGGGUGUAAUGAUUCUUUCUUUGCAUGCCAGUUUCUAUUUGUACAUCUGAUUACCUUUGCACAUGAAUGAUAAGUCUCCUGUGGGGGGUGGAUUGCAUGUGCAUGUAAUGAUUUGUGUUUUGAUACAUGUGUCUGGUGUAUGUGUGUGUGUUCCUGUGCUUGGGGAUGCUUCCUUCCUUGGACUUACAAGCCCUGACACACACAUGCUGGCAAAAUGCUUCUGCUUGACCCGUCUUGAAACACGGACCAAGGAGUCUAACAGAUGUGCAAAGUUUGAAGGUGGUAUACCUUUGUGUGCAAUGAAAGUGUCAGCUGGGAUAUGUGCACCAGCACCCAAUAAUUA